rnacentral:rRNA from 1 species
GAUGAACGCUGGCGGCGUGCCUAACACAUGCAAGUCGAACGGAAAGGCCCUGCUUUGGUGGGGUGCUCGAGUGGCGAACGGGUGAGUAACACGUGAGUAACCUGCCCCUGACUUUGGGAUAACUUCAGGAAACUGGGGCUAAUACCGGAUAGGAGUUCCUGCUGCAUGGUGGGGGUUGGAAAGUUUCGGCGGUUGGGGAUGGACUCGCGGCUUAUCAGCUUGUUGGUGGGGUAGUGGCUUACCAAGGCUUUGACGGGUAGCCGUGCUGAGAGGGUGACCGGCCAAAUUGGGACGGAGAUACGGCCCAGCCUCCUACGGGAGGCAGCAGUGGAGAAUAUUGCACAGUGGGCGGAAGCCUGAUGCAGCAACGCCGCGUGCGGGAUGACGGCCUUCGGGUUGUAAACCGCUUUCGCCUGUGACGAAGCGUGAGUGACGGUAAUGGGUAAAGAAGCACCGGCUAACUACGUG